GAUGGGUGUUUUUCCCAAGUUUCCAGCUGGCGGUCUGCAUGAGAGAAGCUCUCUCUUAAAUGAGCUUAAUUGACAUUACAAAAGAUGAGUGUUCACCCCAAGCAUCUUGUGGCUCAUCUGCCUGGGAGAAGCUCAUGGGAACAUCUGGAGCUGAGAAUGAUGGAACUGUACUCAUGUAGAGCCUGUUACCUUGACAGCUGGGGAAAGUCUCAAAACGGGCCUGCUGUGGCUUCUCCAUGGCUCUUUGGUGGUGAUUAACAAGUGCUGUUGAAAGAAUUGAGGUGCUGGAGCUUUUGGUGCAGGCGGGACUUUUGGUGCGGGCUGGAUUUUUGGUAAUGUUCAGAUUCUGAGAUGUCAGAAGUGUAGCAUGCCCUUUUCCAUUUUUUGGAGAUGUUGUCAAAUGAUGCUGAAAUUAUCAAAAAUUCUGGUCUGAUGCUCGCUCCAACCCUUAUCUGGCUGUGGUGCCUCCAUCAACCUGACGCUCUUUAGUAACCGGUCCAAGUCUUUGUAUGGAGGCCACCAUGAGUGGCCAUCUGAGUACCAGGACUUUGCUAAAGGACCAGUACUACCUUCUCCGACGAACUCCACUAUCAGGUCCAGAAACAUAGUAAGGACAUCAAUAAAACAGUCCAUGUGACAUCAGUGGCUCAACUUCA